CAUGCAAGUAGAACGCUGAGAACUGGUGCUUGCACCGGUUCAAGGAGUUGCGAACGGGUGAGUAACGCGUAGGUAACCUACCUCAUAGCGGGGGAUAACUAUUGGAAACGAUAGCUAAUACCGCAUAAGAGAGACUAACGCAUGUUAGUAAUUUAAAAGGGGCAAUUGCUCCACUAUGAGAUGGACCUGCGUUGUAUUAGCUAGUUGGUGAGGUAAAGGCUCACCAAGGCGACGAUACAUAGCCGACCUGAGAGGGUGAUCGGCCACACUGGGACUGAGACACGGCCCAGACUCCUACGGGAGGCAGCAGUAGGGAAUCUUCGGCAAUGGGGGCAACCCAGACCGAGCAACGCCGCGUGAGUGAAGAAGGUUUUCGGAUCGUAAAGCUCUUGUUGUUAGAGAAGAAUGAUGGUGGGAGUGGAAAAUCCACCAAGUGACGGUAACUAACCAGAAAGGGACGGCUAACUACGUGCCAGCAGCCGCGGUAAUACGUAGGUCCCGAGCGUUGUCCGGAUUUAUUGGGCGUAAAGCGAGCGCAGGCGGUUUUUUAAGUCUGAAGUUAAAGGCAUUGGCUCAACCAAUGUACGCUUUGGAAACUGGAGAACUUGAGUGCAGAAGGGGAGAGUGGAAUUCCAUGUGUAGCGGUGAAAUGCGUAGAUAUAUGGAGGAACACCGGUGGCGAAAGCGGCUCUCUGG
rnacentral:rRNA from 1 species